rnacentral:rRNA from 1 species
UACGUAGGGUGCAAGCGUUGUCCGGUUUUAUUGGGUUUAAAGGGUGCGUAGCCGGCAUAUUAAGUUAGUGGUGAAAACGUUCGAUUUAACCGGAUACCCGCCAUUGAUACUGAUAGACUUGAGUGCGACAGAGGGUGUUGGAAUGUGUGGUGUAGCGGUGAAAUGCUUAGAUAUCACGCAGAACACAAAUUGCGAAGGCAGAUGCCUAUGUCGUAACUGACGCUGAGGAACGAAAGCGUGGGGAGCAAACAGG